rnacentral:rRNA from 1 species
CCUACGGGAGGCAGCAGUGGGGAAUAUUGGACAAUGGGGGGAACCCUGAUCCAGCGACGCCGCGUGAGUGAAGAAGUAUUUCGGUAUGUAAAGCUCUAUCAGCAGGGAAGAAAGAAAUGACGGUUCCUCACUAAUAAGCUCCGGCUAACUACGUGCCAGCAGCCGCGGUAAUACGUAGGGGGCAAGCGUUAUCCGGAUUUACUGGGUGUAAAGGGAGCGUAGACGGCGAUGCAAGUCAGGAGUGAAAGGCGGGGGCCCAACCUCCGGACUGCCUUUGAAACUGUAAGGCUGGAGUGCAGGAGAGGUUAGUGGAAUUCCUAGUGUAGCGGUGAAAUGCGUAGAUAUUAGGAGGAACACCAGUGGCGAAGGCGGCUAACUGGACUGUAACUGACGUUGAGGCUCGAAAGCGUGGGGAGCAAACAGGAUUAGAUACCCGGGUAGUC